rnacentral:rRNA from 1 species
CAGCAGCCGCGGUAAUACAGAGGAUGCAAGCGUUAUCCGGAUUUAUUGGGCGUAAAGGGCUCGCAGGCGGUUUCUUAAGUCUGAAGUUAAAGGCUGUGGCUUAACCAUAGUACGCUUUGGAAACUGUUUAGCUUGAGUGCAGAAGGGGAGAGUGGAAUUCCAUGUGUAGCGGUGAAAUGCGUAGAUAUAUGGAGGAACACCGGUGGCGAAAGCGGCUCUCUGGUCUGUAACUGACGCUGAGGCUCGAAAGCGUGGGGAGCAAACAGGAUUAGAUACCCGGGUAGUCCCUGUCUCUUAUACC